rnacentral:rRNA from 1 species
CUACGGGAUGCACCAGUGGGGAAUCUUAGACAAUGGGGGAAACCCUGAUCUAGCCAUGCCGCGUGAGUGACGAAGGCCUUAGGGUCGUAAAGCUCUUUCGCUGGGGAAGAUAAUGACUGUACCCAGUAAAGAAACCCCGGCUAACUCCGUGCCAGCAGCCGCGGUAAUACGGAGGGGGUUAGCGUUGUUCGGAAUUACUGGGCGUAAAGCGCGCGUAGGCGGACUGGAAAGUUGGGGGUGAAAUCCCGGGGCUCAACCCCGGAACGGCCUCCAAAACUAUCAGUCUAGAGUUCGAGAGAGGGGAGUGGAAUUCCGAGUGUAGAGGUGAAAUUCGUAGAUAUUCGGAGGAACACCAGUGGCGAAGGCGGCUCACUGGCUCGAUACUGACGCUGAGGUGCGAAAGCGUGGGGAGCAAACAGGAUUAGAUACCCGUGUAGUC